rnacentral:rRNA from 1 species
AUACGGAGGGUGCAAGCGUUAAUCGGAAUUACUGGGCGUAAAGCGUGCGUAGGUGGUUUGUUAAGUUAGAUGUGAAAGCCCUGGGCUCAACCUAGGAACUGCAUUUAAAACUGGCAAACUAGAGUAUAGGAGAGGAAAGUGGAAUUUCAGGUGUAGCGGUGAAAUGCGUAGAUAUCUGAAGGAACAUCAAUGGCGAAGGCAGCUUUCUGGACUAAUACUGACACUGAGGUACGAAAGCGUGGGUAGCAAACAGGAUUAGAUACCCUGGUAGUCCACGCCGUAAACGAUGACAACUAGCCGUUGGGAGGAUUUACCUCUUAGUGGCGAAGCUAACGCGUUAAGUUGUCCGCCUGGGGAGUACGGCCGCAAGGUUAAAACUCAAAGGAAUUGACGGGGACCCGCACAAGCGGUGGAGCAUGUGGUUUAAUUCGAUGCAACGCGAAGAACCUUACCUGGUCUUGACAUACACGGAACUUUCCAGAGAUGGAUUGGUGCCUUCGGGAACCGUGAUACAGGUGCUGCAUGGCUGUCGUCAGCUCGUGUCGUGAGAUGUUGGGUUAAGUCCCGUAACGAGCGCAACCCUUAUCCUUAUUUGCCAGCACAUAAUGGUGGGAACUAUAAGGAGACUGCCGGUGAUAAACCGGAGGAAGGCGGGGACGACGUCAAGUCAUCAUGGCCCUUACGACCAGGGCUACACACGUGCUACAAUGGGAAGGACAAAGGGUUGCUAAGCCGCGAGGUGGUGCUAAUCUCAUAAACCUUUUCGUAGUCCGGAUCGGAGUCUGCAACUCGACUCCGUGAAGUCGGAAUCGCUAGUAAUCGUAGAUCAGAACGCUACGGUGAAUACGUUCCCGGGUCUUGCACACACCGCCCGUC